GGGCCCGCACAAGCGGUGGAGCAUGUGCUUUAAUUCGAUGCAACGCGAAGAACCUUACCUAGGCUUGACAUGGGGGUGAAAUUCUGUAGAAAUAUAGAACCUUCCGCAAGGAACACCCUACACAGGUGCUGCAUGGUUGUCGUCAGCUCGUGUCGUGAGAUGUUAGGUUAAGUCCUGCAACGAGCGCAACCCUCGUCCUUAGUUGCUAACAGGUUAUGCUGAGAACUCUAAGGAGACUGCCUGGAUUAACCAGGAGGAAGGUGGGGAUGACGUCAAAUCCUCAUGGCCCUUACGCCUAGGGCUAGACACGUGCUACAAUGGCUGGUACAACGAGCUGCAAGUCAGUGAUGACAAGCUAAUCUCUUAAAACCAGUCUCAGUUCGGAUUGAAGUCUGCAAUUCGACUUCAUGAAGCUGGAAUCGCUAGUAAUCGCGGAUCAGCAUGCCGCGGUGAAUACGUUCCCGGGCCUU
rnacentral:rRNA from 1 species